ACGUAGGAGGCAAGCGUUAUCCGGAGUUACUGGGUGUAAAGCGCGUGCAGGCGGUUCUGCAAGUGGGACGUGAAAGCGCCCGGCUCAACCGGGCGAGGACGUACCGAACUGCGGGACUAGAGGCAGGCAGAGGCGUGUGGAAUUCCGGGUGUAGUGGUGAAAUGCGUAGAGACGUGGAGGAACACCGAUGGCGAAGGCAGCACCCUGGGACAUGACUGACGCUCAGGUACGAAAGCGUGGGGAGCAAACAG
rnacentral:rRNA from 1 species